AAAUACCACCCUUUAAUGUUUGAUGUUCUAACGUUGACCCGUGAUCCGGGUUGCGGACAGUGUCUGGUGGGUAGUUUGACUGGGGCGGUCUCCUCCUAAAGAGUAACGGAGGAGCACGAAGGUUGGCUAAUCCUGGUCGGACAUCAGGAGGUUAGUGCAAUGGCAUAAGCCAGCUUGACUGCGAGCGUGACGGCGCGAGCAGGUGCGAAAGCAGGUCAUAGUGAUCCGGUGGUUCUGAAUGGAAGGGCCAUCGCUCAACGGAUAAAAGGUACUCCGGGGAUAACAGGCUGAUACCGCCCAAGAGUUCAUAUCGACGGCGGUGUUUGGCACCUCGAUGUCGGCUCAUCACAUCCUGGGGCUGAAGUAGGUCCCAAGGGUAUGGCUGUUCGCCAUUUAAAGUGGUACGCGAGCUGGGUUUAGAACGUCGUGAGACAGUUCGGUCCCUA
rnacentral:rRNA from 1 species